CCCUUAGACACUCUAGGCGGCACGCGCGCUACAAUGGGUGGAAGAACGUGUUGCUGCCUCCGAAAGGAGGGGUGAAUCACGAAUUCUUGCCCGUGAAUGGGAUAGUUUGUUGCAAUUUUCGGACUUGAACUAGGAAUCCCUUGUAAACAUGCUCAAGAAUAGCGUGUUGAAUACGUCCCUGCCGUUUGUACACACCGCCCGUCGUUUCUUCCGACUGAUACUCAUUGUGAGUUGCAAGGACCCUUUAUUGGGAAAUUGCUGCAAAUGCUUUGUAUUGGAGGAAGAAAAAGUCGUAACA
rnacentral:rRNA from 1 species